rnacentral:rRNA from 1 species
UACGUAGGUGGCAAGCGUUGUCCGGAUUUAUUGGGUUUAAAGGGUGCGUAGGCGGCCCUGUAAGUCUGUGCUGAAAUAUCCCAGCUUAACUGGGAGGGUGGCAUUGAUACUGCGGGGCUAGAGUACAGAUGAGGUAGGCGGAAUUGACGGUGUAGCGGUGAAAUGCUUAGAUAUCGUCAAGAACACCUAUAGCGAAGGCAGCUUACUAGGCUGUAACUGACGCUGAGGCACGAAAGUGUGGGGAUCAAACAGG